rnacentral:rRNA from 1 species
UAGGGAAUCUUCCGCAAUGGACGCAAGUCUGACGGAGCAACACCGCGUGAGUGAAGAAGGUUUUCGGAUCGUAAAACUCUGUUGUUAGAGAAGAACAAGUGCUAGAGUAACUGUUAGCGCCUUGACGGUAUCUAACCAGAAAGCCACGGCUAACUACGUGCCAGCAGCCGCGGUAAUACGUAGGUGGCAAGCGUUGUCCGGAUUUAUUGGGCGUAAAGCGAGCGCAGGCGGUUCCUUAAGUCUGAUGUGAAAGCCCCCGGCUCAACCGGGGAGGGUCAUUGGAAACUGGGGAACUUGAGUGCAGAAGAGGAGAGUGGAAUUCCAUGUGUAGCGGUGAAAUGCGUAGAUAUAUGGAGGAACACCAGUGGCGAAGGCGACUCUCUGGUCUGUAACUGACGCUGAGGCUCGAAAGCGUGGGUAGCAAACAGGAUUAGAUACCCUGGUAGUCCACGCCGUAAACGAUGAGUGCUAAGUGUUGGAGGGUUUCCGCCCUUCAGUGCUGCAGUUAACGCAUUAAGCACUCCGCCUGGGGAGUACGACCGCAAGGUUG